GAUGAACGCUGGCGGCGUGCCUAAUACAUGCAAGUCGAGCGAACAGACGAGGAGCUUGCUCCUCUGACGUUAGCGGCGGACGGGUGAGUAACACGUGGAUAACCUACCUAUAAUACUGGGAUAACUUCGGGAAACCGGAGCUAAUACCGGAUAAUAUAUUGAACCGCAUGGUUCAAUAGUGAAACACGGUUUUGCUGUCACUUAUAGAUGGUUCCGCGCCGCAUUAGCUAGUUGGUAAGGUAACGGCUUACCAAGGCAACGAUGCGUAGCCGACCUGAGAGGAUGAUCGGCCACACUGGAACUGAGACACGGUCCAGACUCCUACGGGAGGCAGCAGUAGGGAAUCUUCCGCAAUGGGCGAAAGCCUGACGGAGCAACGCCGCGUGAGUGAUGAAGGUCUUCGGAUCGUAAAACUCUGUUAUUAGGGAAGAACAAAUGUGUAAGUAACUAUGCACGUCUUGACGGUACCUAAUCAGAAAGCCACGGCUAACUACGUG
rnacentral:rRNA from 1 species